UACGUAGGGUGCGAGCGUUACUCGGAAUUACUGGGCGUAAAGCGUGCGCAGGCGGUUCGCAAAGUCUGAUGUGAAAGCCCCGGGCUCAACCUGGGAACUGCAUUGGAAACUAGCGGGCUCGAGUGUGGCAGAGGGGGGUGGAAUUCCACGUGUAGCAGUGAAAUGCGUAGAGAUGUGGAGGAACACCGAUGGCGAAGGCAGCCCCCUGGGCUAACACUGACGCUCAGGCACGAAAGCGUGGGGAGCAAACAGG
rnacentral:rRNA from 1 species